rnacentral:rRNA from 2 species
UCUAUACAUGCAGUCGACGAACUCUGGUAUUGAUUGGUGCUUGCAUCAUGAUUUACAUUUGAGUGAGUGGCGAACUGGUGAGUAACACGUGGGAAACCUGCCCAGAAGCGGGGGAUAACACCUGGAAACAGAUGCUAAUACCGCAUAACAACUUGGACCGCAUGGUCCGAGUUUGAAAGAUGGCUUCGGCUAUCACUUUUGGAUGGUCCCGCGGCGUAUUAGCUAGAUGGUGGGGUAACGGCUCACCAUGGCAAUGAUACGUAGCCGACCUGAGAGGGUAAUCGGCCACAUUGGGACUGAGACACGGCCCAAACUCCUACGGGAGGCAGCAGUAGGGAAUCUUCCACAAUGGACGAAAGUCUGAUGGAGCAACGCCGCGUGAGUGAAGAAGGGUUUCGGCUCGUAAAACUCUGUUGUUAAAGAAGAACAUAUCUGAGAGUAACUGUUCAGGUAUUGACGGUAUUUAACCAGAAAGCCACGGCUAACUACGUGCCAGCAGCCGCGGUAAUACGUAGGUGGCAAGCGUUGUCCGGAUUUAUUGGGCGUAAAGCGAGCGCAGGCGGUUUUUUAAGUCUGAUGUGAAAGCCUUCGGCUCAACCGAAGAAGUGCAUCGGAAACUGGGAAACUUGAGUGCAGAAGAGGACAGUGGAACUCCAUGUGUAGCGGUGAAAUGCGUAGAUAUAUGGAAGAACACCAGUGGCGAAGGCGGCUGUCUGGUCUGUAACUGACGCUGAGGCUCGAAAGUAUGGGUAGCAAACAGGAUUAGAUACCCUGGUAGUCCAUACCGUAAACGAUGAAUGCUAAGUGUUGGAGGGUUUCCGCCCUUCAGUGCUGCAGCUAACGCAUUAAGCAUUCCGCCUGGGGAGUACGGCCGCAAGGCUGAACUCAAGGAAUUGACGGGGCCCGCACAGCGGUGGAGCAUGUGGUUUAAUUCGAAGCUA